rnacentral:lncRNA from 1 species
CACGGCCGCGCGGCCGCCCGCUCCAUCCUCCCUCCCUGCGCCCGGCUCAGCCCGGCCCGCCCCGCCCCGGGCGCCGCCACCGACACCGCGACACGACGAAAGCCCCGCCCCCCGCGCAGGCGCACCACCCGCUCCACCGGCGUUUCCUACUCCCGCCCCCGCUCCGCGACUAUUGGCUCCUCGCGCCGCAGCCCCCGCCGCAGUGGUGGCUGCGCACGCUAAUCACCGCCUAGCCCCGUCCCGCGAGCAGAGCCGCUUUCAGCUUUUCGAGUCGCCCAGUUCCGCCGGCCUCUCCUGUUUCCCACGGAUGGGACCUUCCGAAGGGCGCCGAAUGGGGCUCUGGAAGGGACCACUGGGAAAGCGGGGGGGGGGACCCGAGCGGAGCGCCGCGCGGCUUCCCUUGGCUCGAGUACAAUAGCGGGGCUGCGGGGCGCCUACAGAUCCCAGGCUGCGGGGCUGCGGCCGGCGCCGCGCGGCAUGCCGGGACCUGUAGUCGCGGCGGGGCGGCGGCGCCCGCUCGGGCCCCCGGCCGGGAAGGCAGGGCGCCGGGGCGGGUUUUGCGUUGUUGCCCUCUUACCGAGGGUGCCGCUGAAAGGGCCGGCGGGAGGCCUCGAGCUGCGGAAGGAGGCCGAGGCGGGACGCAGGGCUCCCGGAGGCCGAGCGGGCGGCGCCGCUGCGCUGAUGUUCAUGGAGGCUAAUGUACGGAGGACAGAAGGACACAUCAAGGAACUGGGAGAGAGAUCCAGUGCUGUGCUGAGGAAGGAGGACAGACAAUUUUCCUGUUCAAAGAUAGCUUCUUAUGUCCCCACAAGAUGCAGAAAUGUCUUUACCACUGAAGACAGUACAAUUUGGGAUAAGGACCCAGCAUAUGAAAGAACUAGCACAUGGAGUGUAAUUGCCAGGAAGCUGUUCAACAGCUCAAGGUUAGACAAAGAUAGACUACUCUUCUAUAACCACCACUGAGAAGACUUUUAUUACAAUUUAAUGUGAGGAACGCCGAUAUCAGUGGGAUAUGUGAUUCCAACUGCUGGAAAUAAGAGAAGAAAUCGGGUGCUAUUUUCUAUCUCUCUGUGUGUUUUGAAACGUUUAAAAUUGGACCUAUGAGUUCCCAAAUGGAAAUACUGCUGUCCUGGACUCCACCGUACACUUGGAAGAGCCUAUUUUGCUGCGAGUCGAAGGGCAGCUGCAGAGCUAUUGUGGACUGCGCGGAGGGAACCUCAUUUGCCUGCCUGUAACAAAGCUUCGGUGAAGGGUAUUCCCCAGGCCCCGCAGCAGCACUUCUGCAAUGGAAACGCACRCAGCAGAAG